rnacentral:tRNA from 1 species
GGGCCCGUAGCUUAGCGGCAGAGCAUUGGUCUUAUACACCAAGGGUCGAGAGUUCGAGUCUCUCCGGGCCCA